rnacentral:rRNA from 1 species
GUGCCAGCAGCCGCGGUAAUACGAGUGCUUCGAGCGUUAUCCGGAAUCAUUGGGCGUAAAGGGUGCGUAGGUGGCGAUGUUAGUCUCCCGUAAAAUCUUUCGGCUCAACCGAGAGUCCGCGGGGGAAACGGCAUUGCUUGAGGACGAGAGAGGUUUCUGGAACUCAUAGUGUAGCGGUGAAAUGCGUUGAUAUUAUGGGGAACACCAAAAGCGAAGGCAAGAAACUGGCUCGCUCCUGACACUGAAGCACGAAAGCGUGGGUCGCGAAUGGGAUUAGAUACCCCCGUAGUCC